AAUGGGCGAAAGCCUGACGCAGCAACGCCGCGUGAGUGAAGAAGGCCUUCGGGUUGUAAAGCUCUUUUAUUCGGAAAGAAACAAAUGACGGUACCGAAAGAAUAAGCACCGGCUAACUCUGUGCCAGCAGCCGCGGUAAUACAGAGGGUGCAAGCGUUAUUCGGAAUUACUGGGCGUAAAGCGCAUGUAGGUGGUUUGAUAAGUCUGGUGUGAAAUCCCUCGACUCAAUCGGGGAAGUGCAUUGGAUACUGUCAGGCUAGAGUAUGGGAGAGGUGAGUGGAAUUCCAGGUGUAGAGGUGAAAUUCGUAGAUAUCUGGAGGAACAACAGAGGCGAAGGCGGCUCACUGGACCAUAACUGACACUGAAAUGCGAAAGCGUGGGGAGCAAA
rnacentral:rRNA from 1 species